rnacentral:rRNA from 1 species
GUCGAACGAGACCUUCGGGUCUAGUGGCGCACGGGUGCGUAACGCGUGGGAAUCUGCCCUUAGGUACGGAAUAACAGUGAGAAAUUACUGCUAAUACCGUAUGAUGUCGAGAGACCAAAGAUUUAUCGUCUAGGGAUGAGCCCGCGUAGGAUUAGCUAGUUGGUGGGGUAAAGGCCUACCAAGGCUACGAUCCUUAGCUGGUCUGAGAGGAUGAUCAGCCACACUGGGACUGAGACACGGCCCAGACUCCUACGGGAGGCAGCAGUGGGGAAUAUUGGACAAUGGGCGAAAGCCUGAUCCAGCAAUGCCGCGUGAGUGAAGAAGGCCUUCGGGUUGUAAAGCUCUUUUACCCGGGAAGAUAAUGACUGUACCGGGAGAAUAAGCCCCGGCUAACUCCGUGCCAGCAGCCGCGGUAAUACGGAGGGGGCUAGCGUUGUUCGGAAUUACUGGGCGUAAAGCGUACGUAGGCGGCUUUGUAAGUCAGAGGCGAAAGCCCACGACUCAAUCGUGGAACUGCCUUUGAGACUGCUUCGCUUGAAGAUGGGAGAGGUUAGUGGAAUUCCGAGUGUAGAGGUGAAAUUCGUAGAUAUUCGGAAGAACACCAGUGGCGAAGGCGGCUAACUGGACCAUUCUUGACGCUGAGGUACGAAAGCGUG